ACACAUGCAAGUCGAGCGGAGACAGUGAGUAGCUUGCUAUGAGCUGUUUUAGCGGCGGACGGGUGAGUAACGCGUGAGCAACCUUUCCCAGACAGGGGAAUAACACACCGAAAGGUGUACUAAUACCGCAUAAGACCACGGGAUCACAUGGUUCUGAGGUAAAAGAUUUAUCGGUUUGGGGUGGGCUCGCGUCCGAUUAGGUAGUUGGUGAGGUAACGGCCCACCAAGCCGACGAUCGGUAGCCGACCUGAGAGGGUGAUCGGCCACAUUGGGACUGAGACACGGCCCAAACUCCUACGGGAGGCAGCAGUGGGGAAUAUUGGGCAAUGGAGGAAACUCUGACCCAGCAACGCCGCGUGGAGGAAGAAGGUUUUCGGAUCGUAAACUCCUGUCCUUGGAGACGAGUAGAAGACGGUAUCCAAGGAGGAAGCCCCGGCUAACUACGUGCCAGCAGCCGCGGUAAUACGUAGGGGGCAAGCGUUGUCCGGAAUAAUUGGGCGUAAAGGGCGCGUAGGCGGCUCGGUAAGUCUGGAGUGAAAGUCCUGCUUUUAAGGUGGGAAUUGCUUUGGAUACUGUCGGGCUUGAGUGCAGGAGAGGUUAGUGGAAUUCCCAGUGUAGCGGUGAAAUGCGUAGAGAUUGGGAGGAACACCAGUGGCGAAGGCGACUAACUGGACUGUAACUGACGCUGAGGCGCGAAAGUGUGGGGAGCAAACAGGAUUAGAUACCCUGGUAGUCCACACUGUAAACGAUGAAUGCUAGGUGUAGGGGGUAUCGACCCCUUCUGUGCCGCAGUCAACACAAUAAGCAUUCCGCCUGGGG
rnacentral:rRNA from 1 species